UAAAGCUCAAAUUAAAAUGUGUCCCUCUGAGCUUUCCCAUGGUGUGGGCAGACGCCGUGAAGUGAAGUGGGAGAUGAGCAAUGACAACAUCCUGUGUUCUGCAUCACAGCUAAUGGUAACCCAGAGUGUAUCCUGACAGGUUUUAUCUCCUGCUGUAGGUAUAACAUUUUGAAGAGUAUCUUUUAAUGUUCCUUUACAGUAGGUUAGUUUAGAUUAGGAUCUACAGAAACACUAAAAGUGGUUGAUAUCUAUAUGCUCUUGAUGUCUCUGACAGAACAGAAAAAUACUUCCCGCUCGUGGCAGCAGAAUCUGAGAUAACUCAGCUUCAACGAGACAGUUGGUUACACAUCUCAAACAUCAUGACUCCACCUCUUGCUGCUUCUCCUGCUUUCGCUGCUGAGAAAGGAGCUUGGACACAACAAGGCUGAAAUCCUGUCUCGUUUGGGCUGAUUUGGGGGUGAAGGAAGAGGUGCUGCAGGUUGUAAGGUUGCAAACUGAAGUCUUCACAGAGAAUAUCUUGCUCAGCACCUUGUUUGUGCUGGGACACCAAGAGACACCCUCUCUGUCCCAGCAGAUACAUUUUGCCUGGUCCAGGAGACGCACAGGAGCAAAUUAGGACUAAAAGAGAAGGAGAAGCUACCCCCAGGUUAACUUUUUGUGCUUCCAGUAACAUUUGUAGAGAAGGAAGAAGGUGUUGGCUGCCCAGGAACUCUCCUCUCCAGCCCGUGUCCAUCCGGGUUCAGGCUGGCGUGUAACCACUGCUUGAGACACGGCGUUAAGGGACGUUCCCAGAGUGCAAACCUGCGCCAGAGAUGGGCAUAUGGACAGGGCCACAGGAGGCGUCCACACAAUUUCUACAUCACCUUUUGUGUCAUUUUUGAAGCAACACCAGAAGAUGGGCAUCUGUGCCAGCCAAGGUGGGGAUGAGCAGUGCUGUGGCUCAUGGUGGGUCCCUGCUCCACGUCCUGGUGGCACCGCUCUCUCUGCCAGUCACUCGGGCCACACACUCCCUCCGAUCCACAGCACUUCCUGCAAUUUUAAGCCUGAGACCCAUGUAGAAGAAAGAGAAGUGUGGUUACCAUGUAACUGA
rnacentral:lncRNA from 1 species